CUUUUGGACUAUAACUUGGUGUUGUGUGACUUUUGAAUUUGAAAAUGAAAUAUUUAAGGGCAUUUACUGGGUAUGCUCUCUCCCUGGAUUCCCUUCCUCUCCCUUCAGUUGCUGCAAAUGAACACUUUCUCUCCCUCCCAGGGUGAGAAAAGAAAUGGAAGGGGGUGGGUAGAGACAUUUCUUUGCUCCCAGAUGUUGCACUGAAGCUCACUCUGAAGACAACACCCCUAUUGUGAGGUCACAAUGGAAAGGUGCGGCUCGCCUGAAGCAGCUAAUGCCAACCGCUGUACUCGGCACCGACGUUGGGUGCGCGCGGACACGGGAGCUCCUCCCCCACCCCGCAACCAUGGUUUCCAGGGCAACCAGCUGGGGCUCGGACCAGCGCAAGAAAAAGCUGCCCCUCCCCCUUUCUCCAGCGGUGAUGCUCUGGACACCGGGCCCACACUGCGCCUGCUCUGGAUAGCUGCAGAUAAAGGGGGUGGGGAGGCUGGAUGGUGAAGUUGGUAGGUCGGUGGGGACUAUGAUCUGAUUGGUUGAUGACAGUGAUGAAUCCGGUAGGUGGAUGAGGGGGCUCGCACUGCGCUUGCUCCGGACAGCGGGUCCGCGCUGUGCUAGUGCUGCCCCCAAGCGGAGGGGAUUGUGUGAGAGGAAAACAUCAGGUUCUGUAACAGCCCAGGAACUUGUGAAUUUUCUUCAUUUCGAAGAACAGGACCAAGUGCUAAACGAGUCAUUUGAUGAAACAGAGGAUUUUGGCUUCUUUGAUUGUGAUUGAACUACCUUCGGGGAAUUGAGAGGGGGAAGACAUUUCCACAGAAAUUAGGACUACAUUGUCAAAUGAAAGCAUGAAGUCAAGCGAAUUGAAAAAAAGAAUCAGAUACCUCACAUCUAGAUUAAAAGGAUAAACCCUGAGAUAGCUUCAAAAACCUUGGAAAUAAUUUCGACAGAAGGCCAACGAAUGAAACAAAUGCUUACUCAAACAUCAGAGAUUAGAGAAGGGUCUUGUUACACAUGCAAAAUUGGUAAACUGAAUGCUAAAACUGGAAAUGCUUGCCACAUUGGUGAAUCACUUACCCUACCUUCAGUGUUCAUAAUAAUAUGAGGUCAUGAAUUCCAGUGCCAAAGAAGCAAUUCAGGCAAUUCCUUUGAGUAGUUCUACUGUUCCUAGAAGAAUCAAUGAGAUGGUACAGGACAUUGAAGAGGGAUUGAUCAAUCCAAGAAAUUCUCUUUACAAUUACACAAAACCAGUUUACAACAUCAUAACGCUAUUCUCAUGGUUUAUGUGAUCUUCUGGAACAGAAACAAACUAAGGGAAGAGAUGUUGUUUGCCAGGAGGAUUAAAACAAAUACUGAGGAACAGUCUAUUUUUGAAGAAGUCAAACGUUACUUAAGCAAGAACAAUAUCCCAGUGAAGAAUAUAAUUGUGCAACUGAUGGUGCCACUUCUAUGUUAGUCAAUACAGAGGAUUCAUCUAUCUAAAAAGAGUUACACCUUCUGUCUUUGCUAUUCAUCGAAUCAUUCACAGGGAGCACGUAAUAGCUAAAAGCUUAGGAGGACGUCACAAUCUUUCGCUUUCAGUUGUCAUAAAGGCUGUAAACUUCUUCAAAUCCCAUGCCCUUCAGGAUUGUCUUUUUGGUAGCUGUGUGAAGAAAAUGAAAACAACUUCUGGAUACUGCAGCUGCGUACCAAGGCAAGGUGGCUUUCCAAGGAAACUGUCUUCAACAUUUUGUUACACUCUGGGACAUCAUAGUUUCAAUCAUGAUGCUCUCCACCGCAUCUCCUCCACUUCCCGCUCCUCCGCCCUUGAACCCCGUCCCUCCAAUCGCCACCAGGA